rnacentral:rRNA from 1 species
UACGUAGGGUCCGAGCGUUGUCCGGAGUUACUGGACGUAAAGCGCGCGCAGGCGGCGGUGCUGGCCCGGCGUGAAAGCCCCCGGCUCAACCGGGGAGGGUCGUCGGGGACCGCACCGCUUGAGGGCGGUAGGGGCUGGUGGAAUGCCUGGUGUAGUGGUGAAAUGCGUAGAGAUCAGGCGGAACACCCGUGGCGAAGGCGGCCAGCUGGGCCGUCCCUGACGCUGAGGCGCGAAGGCGUGGGGAGCGAACGGGG